CUGUCUAUUGCUUCUUGUUUGGGUUCGGGCUGAAGCUCUUUCAGUUUGAUUGGUUUUCCCUAGGUCUGUUUCGGUUAUUAAGUGAGUUUAUAGGAAAAUCAGAUAGAUUUUUUUUCAGGAAAUGUGGUUUUGAUGGGAAUUUGUGUUCAAAUAUUUCAUCUUGCAAAUGUGGGCUAUCAAAAUGCCUGAAGAAUUCUAGUGGACCGCCUUUAAUUGAACAAGUGGAGG
rnacentral:lncRNA from 1 species